rnacentral:ncRNA from 1 species
GGGAGCCGAGUGUAGGGAAAACCUACACGCUCGGAUCUAACGGAGAGGGGCGAGAUAUAAUAGUCUACCUCGACUCCAC